UUCCAUUUUCCUGAAGUAACAGCGGUUCCAACGAAAGUGGCAGAACUUCUUCUGGUAGAGGAAUAGAAGCAGACGGAAUUGCCCCAUUAAAAGAUGAAAAAGUACUGCAUCCAGUGAAAACAUAUGACGGGAAAAGAAGAAUUGUUUCAACUGCAGAAAGUACACUC
rnacentral:lncRNA from 1 species